UAUUUCAUUUAGCAUAAUACCCUCAAGGUCCGUCCAUGUUGUUGCAAAUGGCAAGAUUUCGUAUUUUUUACGGCUAAGUAGUAUCCCUUAGCAAAUGUACACAUAUAUU